AGUGAACGCUGGCGGUAGGCCUAACGCAUGCAAGUCGAACGGCAGCACAGUAAGAGCUUGCUCUUACGGGUGGCGAGUGGCGGACGGGUGAGGAAUACAUCGGAAUCUACUUUUUCGUGGGGGAUAACGUAGGGAAACUUACGCUAAUACCGCAUACGACCUACGGGUGAAAGCAGGGGAUCUUCGGACCUUGCGCGAUUGAAUGAGCCGAUGUCGGAUUAGCUAGUUGGCGGGGUAAAGGCCCACCAAGGCGACGAUCCGUAGCUGGUCUGAGAGGAUGAUCAGCCACACUGGAACUGAGACACGGUCCAGACUCCUACGGGAGGCAGCAGUGGGGAAUAUUGGACAAUGGGCGCAAGCCUGAUCCAGCCAUACCGCGUGUGUGAAGAAGGCCUUCGGGUUUUAAAGCCCUUUUGUUGGGAAAGAAAAGCAGCAGGUUAAUACCCCGCUGUUCUGACGGUACCCAAAGAAUAAGCACCGGCUAACUUCGUG
rnacentral:rRNA from 1 species